rnacentral:lncRNA from 10 species
CAGUGAUAAAUGCUUGUUUUAAGCUUCUGGGUUUUGGGGUGGUGUGUUAGGCAGCCUCACUGGGGCAGUGGCUGACGGGUACAAUCAGAUGAACCCUGAGGCCCCUGGAAGCUUCGAGUGUCUAUGAGGGACCUUUCCCGGCCUUUCAGCCAAAUUGGAAGACCCACUUCUCUGGACUGGAUGCUGCAUUGAAUUGAGCAAAGGAACUGAGUGCCCGGGGAGCUCAAAGGGAAGCAGCCCAGCCUUCCUUCUGGGGCAGAGCAGUGGUGGGGACCUGUUUCCAGCUGCUUGUGCCCCCCACUUCAUGGAGGAGGGACCAGGGAUCCUCAGAGGAGAGGAAUCGGCUCCCAGACACCUGCCACUCGUGAAUGCAUCUGAUAAACUCACUCACACUGAGGCCUUGGGGACUGAGAAUCCCCAGGACUCCCUAGGGAAGGAGGUCCCAGCCUGGCCUCCCAAGACCGUGCUUGCCCAAUUCCAGGACUUCCUCACAUGGCUCCUACCUCCAGCACAGAAGCGGCACUAAACCAGGUGGUCAAUCAGGGAGCACCACCGAGGUUCUGAAUGGUCCAG